GGAAUUUUUCGCAAUGGGGGCAACCCUGACGAAGCAAUGCCGCGUGGGUGAUGAAGUCUCUUGGGACGUAAAACCCUUUCGACAGUGACGAACCCGCAAGGUUGACGGUACCCGUAGAAGAAGACCCGGCUAACUCCGUGCCAGCCGCCGCGGUAAUACGGGGGGGGCAAGCGUUGUUCGGAAUUACUGGGCGUAAAGGGUGCGUAGGCGGCUCUCUAAGUCGGAUGUGAAAACUCUGGGCUCAACCCAGAGCCUGCAUCCGAAACUGGAGGGCUAGGGUUCUGGAGGGGAAAGCGGAAUUCCUGGUGUAGCGGUGAAAUGCGUAGAUAUCAGGAGGAACACCGGUGGCGAAGGCGGCUUUCUGGACAGACACCGACGCUGAGGCACGAAAGCUAGGGGAGCAAAC
rnacentral:rRNA from 1 species